CCCCGCCGAGGCUCCCCUCGACGCCUGGGCCGCCGCGCAACCGCACUGGAGCGGCUUCUCCCGCUGCCGUCUUCGCGCAGGUGCGUCGCCCUCUCUCCACGUCCACGGCGCCGAGUCUCGCCACGGUGGCGCAGGCGCCAGGGAGGUUCCCCGGCUUUGCCGCGCGGAGGAAGUCCCGGUUACGCAGAGCGCGCUGGGGCAGGGCUGACCUUCCCCUUUCUCUACUUCACUGGCCUCCUCCAGACGUGGUGGUUGCGCCCUUUCGGCCUCGCUUUCCGUUUUUUGGCUUCAUCCCCUAGAUCUGCAAACAGUUCCUCGUGUUUCUUCCGUUAGCCGGGAAACGCGAACUGCAGCGUUUGGGACCCGGGUUUGCGCGUGUGGAAAGCAAAAGGGGUUACUCUGCUGGAGUUCGACAUUGCAAAUAAAGGUCUUUAUCCCCGGCGGUUCUACAAAAUUAGUUCUGCAGGGAUUCUGGUUGAAAGAAGCGUUAAAGUGGGCCUUGUAGGAGUCAGCAAUAAUCCAAUUUUACAUGGGUGCAGGUGGCUGCCUGUGUCUAGCGCUUUCACACAUCUCAUAUCUUCAUCCACGCCGUGGGUAUUUUUUUUCCACGGUGUGUUUCUGUUGCUGCCUCCAGUAUAUUGCUUAAUCAUCCUACCUGGUAAUUAUUUAUGCAUUUUUCUCCUACUCUCGACUCAGCUCCUAGGGAAUAAAAACACAUUAACUUAUCUUUGUGCCCACAGCACCCACCAAGUAUUUCCAUCACGUAAUACUGCCUCUAGAAAGGCAGGAGGAGAAGCAGUCACGCUAAGGAUCUAGGCAAGCCAGAUCUUUUGUCCGGUUUUAGGAGGUGGCCAGCCCUUACUUAUUCCACAAGUGUUUUUCCAGAAACUCAGACUUGAUAUUGCCUCAAGUCCAAGGCAGUGUGCUUCCCCCACUCACAUAUCACUAAUAGUAGCUAACAUUUGUUCAGAUCCCUGUAUGUACUCUGCCACUGUUUUAAAUGUUACACCCGGGUUACCUCAUUUAAUCCUUACAACUGCCCUGUGAGGUAGGUACUAUUAUUAUCUCUACUUUGUAGAUGGGAUUCACCGAGGCACAGACGGUUAAAAAACCUAGCCCAAAUAACACAAAUAAACAGCAGAGCAUGCAGUGCUAGAGUCUGCAUUCUUAACAAUUGCUAUAUUCUCCCUCUCCGUGAAUGUGGGCUGAGAUGCUGAAACAGGCAUGUGCUGUGGGGGAGAAAAAGCUUUGUCCAACCAAGUGCUUUCUAAUGUCCAGAUGACAUAGAGCUAGGAUUUCCUAAUGUCUUUUUUCCCCUAUUUUUCUCUCCAUUUCAGGGUUGAGUUUGUGCAUCGAUUGUGAACACAACAGGCAGCAGGCUAUAAUGGUGGUCCUGGCUGGAGUAGUUUUCACAGACUUCAGUAAUCUGUGGAGAUGAACGGGCAGUUCUCUGUAGUUUUCACAGAUCACUGCCAGUUCGUUUUGAGGCCUUCAGGAGUGAAGACCUGGCUCAUCAUCACUCUUUGUUGUUUUGUUAAAUUUAUUUACACCCUACUUUAUUCCAGAGGAAAGGAUUUAACGUAGUUUACAUAAAUGUGUACAUCAGGGUAAAUUAAAAAUAAGUACAGAGAAAAAUAGGACAAAAGAAAACCGUGAGUGUGAAAGAUAAGAUUAAGCCAGCAGUUUUGUAUGCAAAAUGCAUGGUGUAAGGUCCUAUUGGUUUGCUGGAGGUAGGCCACACAUAUGACUCUCAGUUUUCUAGCAACCAAGAAAAAGAUCAGUUGCAAUCGGAGUAGGUGUUUUGGCUAAGCUGGAACUAGGACUUGAAUAUAGCAGCUUGUAGAGUUAUACCACUUGCCCAAAUCUCUUCCAUGAGCCUCUUUAAGUGUAACAGAAUGCCUGGGAGCACGUAAAUGCUCCUACUUAGAUGCCUACUUAGCCUCUAAUUUUCAUGGGGCCCAUGAAUCCCAUGAAAAAGAACUUUGAACCCUGUCCACAAUUAGAGUUCAGGUAUACGCAGACAUGUUUAAAGACAAGGGACACCCAAAGGAAAGAUUGCACAGAGAGAAAGUGAGCAUCCGAGAGAAAAUCACCACAAGUGAGGCAGAGGGAGGCCGGUCUCAGCAGAGUUUUGGAGGUCGUGAGAAGAAGAGGUAGGAGAUAGGAGAGUGGUUCCGAGUACUUGCCUGCUGAUGUUACCUUCUCCACCCCCACCAGGUUUUCCAGUGCCUGGAGUCUUGGGCAGGAAUGGGCCACUGUAAGAAAGAGCUUUAUCACUAGGGCCUCAGCCAACUUUUCUGUGGGAUAUCCCUCCAAAAUAAUUAAGAGUUCAGAAUGCUUCAGAUUUUGAAGUGAAACUGGUACAUAUAUUAAGUGUUACUUAAUAACCCGAUAGUUUCUAGGGCAGCUCACCAUAAUCCCAAGUAUUAGCCACCACCCUCACCCCCUUCAGAGUAAAAUGUGUUUCCUGAAGGAAGUUGGGAAAAUGAAGAAAAAAAAUACAAAAAUCACCUAUAAUCUUACCAGUCAUAGAUGGCAGUUUUCCUGUCUUAUUUCUGAAUAAUGGUUGUUAAACAUUUGCCAGCACACCAUAAGGCUUAGGGAGGCAUCUGGGUCAUGCAUGUUAAUAUCCUUGGGUAAUUCCAGAAAUCUCUAUGAAGGGAAACUCCUGUUAUUUAUCUAGACUUCCUGAUUGCAAGGGGUUUGGGCAUCAUGAUUUAGGGGUCUUAAUAAAAUUAUUAUUUUAUUUUUACUAAUAGAUAAUGUCUGUGCCUAUCAGAUAAAGGCAAACCAGUGCUCAGAGGAACCCAACCAUCUCUGAAUUGAGACCAGAGAGCUGUCUCUAUGGAUAGUCCUUAGAGAAGGCAUUUCGGAACACAGUAAACAGCAGCCUGGUGACUCCGAUUACAGGGCCAGUUGCCUUUGUUACAAUAAAAGCAAGUCAUCUACACAGAUUUUUCCUACCAGGAAGAGCAUGUGCUGACCAACAGACAUGAAUUUCAGCCUGGUAGUUACAACAUUCACAGGAGUUUCACUCGUUGCCCAGGCUGGAGUGCAACGGCGCGAUCUCAGCUCACUGCAACCUCCGCCUCCCCAGUUCAAGCGAUUCUCCUGCCUCAGCCUCCUGAGUCACUGGAAUUACGGGCGCCUGACACCACGCCCAGCUAAUUUUUUGUAUUUUUAGUAGACAUGGGGUUUCACUAUGUUGGCCAGGCUGGUCUCGAACUCCUGACCUCAUGAUCCUCCUGCCUCAGCCUCCCAAAGCACUGGGAUUACAGGUGUGAGCCACUGUGCCUGGUCCAUUAAAAACAUUUGUAAAGCUAUGGUGUUGAUAAAGUAUUAUGAAAGACUGCAAAAAAAGAUGGCUAAUUUUUAGUUAUUAUUGCACAUGUUUAGAGGAGCUAAUGACAUUUUCUAUGAUUAAUAAAAGACAUUAUUUAUGUUUUUAUUUAUGUAUUCCACAACAUUUAUUUUAUUUUCUCCAUUUCAGGAAAACCACUAUGUUGUUACAAUAAAGAUUUUCAUGUAAUUUGUGUUCAAUUGAUAGUAAUAAUGUAACAAGUUAAAAAUGAAGGUAAUUGUGUUUAAAAUUUGAGCAUAUUUUCAUCAAAAUGUAAGUUAAAGUGAUUGUAAAUUUUAAGAUCAUAAUUACUUUGUAUAUCUUCAAGAAAAUUAUUGUUUUAAAAUAUUUAUGCCUAUUAAAAUUAGAAGGCAAAAUAAAAAUAUAUGAAU
rnacentral:lncRNA from 1 species